rnacentral:rRNA from 1 species
ACAUUUGAUUAGGUAGUUGGAAGGGUAGAAGCCUCCCAAGCCAACGAUCAAUAGCCAAGUUUGAUAGAACAAAUGGCCACAUUGGGAAUGAAAUCUCCCAAGUAGCAUUAAGCUACCAGCAGUCAAGAAUAUUAGUCAAUGCUCGAAAGAGUGAACUAGCUAACUGAAAUCAACGGUGUGUCACCGUUGAUAAGGUAAGGGAAAAAAAUGAUAUUACCUUACUAUUAGUGUCGUCCAAGUACUCGUGCCAGAAGACUCGGUAAGGCGAGAGACGCAAACGUUAGUCGUCUUAAUCAGGCGUAAAGGGUUUGUAGGCGGCUUUAAGAAUUUUAAUUUUUUUAAAUUACAUCCUUUUUAUAAAGGACAUUAAAAAAAAAAUCAAUUAAAGCUAGAAUCAAAAAUAGGUUAAUUAAAUAAUACUUAGACUAAGAUUGGUAUCUGUAAAUUCUAAGCGGAAUACUAACGGCGAAGGCUUUUUUCCAAUAAUGAUUGACGCUGAGAAACUAAGGUGAGGAUAGACAAAAGGAUUAGAGACCCUCGUAUCCCUCACUGUCAACGAUGAAUGGUAGUUACUAGUUGAGUUAAAAUAUAUAAUAACUACAACACUAGAGACGAUGUUAACACGAAAACCAUUCCGCCUUGUGAGUACGACUGCAAAGUUGAAAACAAAAAAAUUAGUCGGUUUCGGAGCAAACGAAGUGAAGCAUGUUAUUUAAUACGAUACCCCGCGUAAAAUCUUACCAGUCCUUGCAUAAAACUUUAUUUUACUUAAUUUGUUUUAAUAAAACUAUGUAAAUUUAAUGAAAGUUAUUUGAUAAAUAGUAAAAUUAUAAUUUUA